rnacentral:rRNA from 1 species
GACGAACGCUGGCGGCGUGCUUAACACAUGCAAGUCGAACGGUUAGGCCCUGCUUUUGUGUGUUUCUCGAGUGGCGAACGUGUGUGUCACACGUGCGUCACCUGCCCUUCACUUUGGUAUAACUUCAGGAAACUGGGUCUUAUACCGUAUUUGAGCUCCUGCUCCUUGAUGGGUCUUGGAAACUUUCGGCGGUUGGGGAUGGACUCGCGGCUUGUCAGCUUGUUGGUGGGGUAUUGGCUUACCAAGGCUUUGACGGGUAGCCGGCCUGAGAGGGUGACCGGCCAGAUUGGGACUGAGAUACGGCCCAGACUCCUACGGGAGGCAGCAGUGGGGAAUAUUGCACAAUGGGCGGAAGCCUGAUGCAGCAACGCCGCGUGCGGGAUGAAGGCCUUCGGGUUGUAAACCGCUUUCACCAGGGACGAAGCGUGAGUGACGGUAAUGGGUAAAGAAGCACCGGCUAACUACGUG